GAUGAAGAACGCAGCGAAAUGCGAUACUUGGUGUGAAUUGCAGAAUCCCGUGAACCAUCGAGUCUUUGAACGCAAGUUGCGCCCGAAGCCAUUAGGCCGAGGCACGCCUGCCUGGGCGUCACACGUCGUUGCCCCCCCAUCUACUCCUUCGGGAUUGCGGGGGGCGGAUGAUGGCCUCCCGUGCGCCUCGCCGCGCGGUUGGCAUAAAUGCCAAGUCCUCGGCGACGCACGCCACGACAAUCGGUGGUUGCGAAACCUCGGUUGCCCGUCGUGUGCGGUCGUCGCGCAUCGAGGGCUCGAAAAAAUUGCCGGGUUCCGGCUCGGCUUUCAACGCGACCCCAGGUCAGGCGGGGUUACCCGCUGAAUUUAAGCAUAUCAAUAAGCGGAGGA
rnacentral:misc_RNA from 1 species